UGGACGAACCUCUGGUGCACCAGUUGUUUCAUCAGAAGCAUCGCUGGGUAGCUAUGUUCGGAUGGGAUAAGCGCUGAAAGCAUAUAAGCGCGAAACCCUUCCCAAGAUAAGGUUUCCCUUCCCUUAUGGGAGUGAAGAUCCCCUGUAGACUACAGGGUUGAUAGGUCAUAGGUGUAAGACCAGUAAUGGUUUCAGCCGAGUGAUACUAAUGAAUCGUCAGGCUUUUCCAAAU
rnacentral:rRNA from 1 species